UUCUUGCUAUCACUUACAGAUGGGCCCGCGGCGCAUUAGCUAGUUGGUGAGGUAACGGCUCACCAAGGCGACGAUGCGUAGCCGACCUGAGAGGGUGAUCGGCCACACUGGGACUGAGACACGGCCCAGACUCCUACGGGAGGCAGCAGUAGGGAAUCUUCCGCAAUGGACGAAAGUCUGACGGAGCAACGCCGCGUGAACGAUGAAGGUCUUCGGAUCGUAAAGUUCUGUUGUUAGGGAAGAACAAGUACCGUGCGAAUAGAGCGGUACCUUGACGGUACCUAACGAGGAAGCCCCGGCUAACUACGUGCCAGCAGCCGCGGUAAUACGUAGGGGGCAAGCGUUGUCCGGAAUUAUUGGGCGUAAAGCGCGCGCAGGCGGUUCCUUAAGUCUGAUGUGAAAGCCCACGGCUCAACCGUGGAGGGUCAUUGGAAACUGGGGAACUUGAGGACAGAAGAGGAGAGUGGAAUUCCACGUGUAGCGGUGAAAUGCGUAGAUAUGUGGAGGAACACCAGUGGCGAAGGCGACUCUCUGGUCUGUUUCUGACGCUGAGGUGCGAAAGCGUGGGUAGCAAACAGGAUUAGAUACCCUGGUAGUCCACGCCGUAAAC
rnacentral:rRNA from 1 species